rnacentral:rRNA from 1 species
GAUGAACGCUGGCGGCGUGCCUAAUACAUGCAAGUUGAGCGAACGGACGAGAAGCUUGCUUCUCUGAUGUUAGCGGCGGACGGGUGAGUAACACGUGGAUAACCUACCUAUAAGACUGGGAUAACUUCGGGAAACCGGAGCUAAUACCGGAUAAUAUUUUGAACCGCAUGGUUCAAAAGUGAAAGACGGUCUUGCUGUCACUUAUAGAUGGAUCCGCGCUGCAUUAGCUAGUUGGUAAGGUAACGGCUUACCAAGGCAACGAUGCAUAGCCGACCUGAGAGGGUGAUCGGCCACACUGGAACUGAGACACGGUCCAGACUCCUACGGGAGGCAGCAGUAGGGAAUCUUCCGCAAUGGGCGAAAGCCUGACGGAGCAACGCCGCGUGAGUGAUGAAGGUCUUCGGAUCGUAAAACUCUGUUAUUAGGGAAGAACAUAUGUGUAAGUAACUGUGCACACCUUGACGGUACCUAAUCAGAAAGCCACGGCUAACUACGUG